UAGUGGCGACGGGUGAGUAACACGUGGGCAAUCUGCCCUUCACUCUGGGACAAGCCCUGGAAACGGGGUCUAAUACCGGAUGACACUCUCCUCCUCCUGGGGGUGGGUUGAAAGCUCCGGCGGUGAAGGAUGAGCCCGCGGCCUAUCAGCUUGUUGGUGGGGUAAUGGCCUACCAAGGCGACGACGGGUAGCCGGCCUGAGAGGGCGACCGGCCACACUGGGACUGAGACACGGCCCAGACUCCUACGGGAGGCAGCAGUGGGGAAUAUUGCACAAUGGGCGAAAGCCUGAUGCAGCGACGCCGCGUGAGGGAUGACGGCCUUCGGGUUGUAAACCUCUUUCAGCAGGGAAGAAGCGACCGGGUUCUCCCGGACGUGACGGUACCUGCAGAAGAAGCGCCGGCUAACUACGUGCCAGCAGCCGCGGUAAUACGUAGGGCGCAAGCGUUGUCCGGAAUUAUUGGGCGUAAAGAGCUCGUAGGCGGCUAGUCACGUCGGGUGUGAAAGACCGGGGCUCAACUCCGGUUCUGCAUUCGAUACGGGCUGGCUAGAGUGUGGUAGGGGAGAUCGGAAUUCCUGGUGUAGCGGUGAAAUGCGCAGAUAUCAGGAGGAACACCGGUGGCGAAGGCGGAUCUCUGGGCCAUUACUGACGCUGAGGAGCGAAAGCGUGGGGAGCGAACAGGAUUAGAUACCCUGGUAGUCCACGCCGUAAACGUUGGGAACUAGGUGUUGGCGACAUUCCACGUCGUCGGUGCCGCAGCUAACGCAUUAAGUUCCCCGCCUGGGGAGUACGGCGCAAGGCUAAAACUCAAAGGAAUGACGG
rnacentral:rRNA from 1 species